ensembl:lncRNA
GGAUAAGGGAGGCACCACGCAUUGCAAGGAAUACACUUUAAUCAUGUUGCCCAGCACCAAAUAUUCAUCUUCUGCCACUCUAGAUGCCAAUGCUUGUUUUCUGUCUGAGAGAAGAAACAGACAACACUUUUCACUUCAAUAAAAAUCCUUCAGAAUGAAGCAAACAGAUGACCUAAUUUGGAGGAUCUGCUCCUUUCCUUGGUUUGCAAGUGACUUAGGAGAAAUUUAGAUUCUGAAGCCCACUGAAGAAAACAAUCACUGCAAAGAAGUACCAAAUCUCUUGCAAACUCUCCCCUGAUCACUGCAUUCAAAGAUCUACCAGCAGCUGUUGAUGUAACGUUAUGGAUGUUUAGCAGGACUUCCUGUAUCUAAUGAACACAGCUCUUUCAGUGAGGAGACAAAGUGCAAUGCUGUCCCAGGAAAAUAAAAACGAUGUAACAUUCAGUCAGGAAUGCACUUACUACACGGCCUGGAAUCAGGAAUUGAUCUCAUGCCUCUGUAACAAAGAUCCCAUCUGUAGUCCCAUGUGGGGAGGGCACUGACACUGCUUCAGAAAGGACGUGGUUAUCCUGCUCCCAAAAGGAACUGAUUAGGGGAGAUGUUCCAGAAGCUAUUCGAUACAGACUGCACAACUCAGGAUGCCAUUCGUACAGUGAGUCAAAAAACUACACAGCAUUCUCCAAUAUUUUUAUGUCUAAGAGCGCCAACAGCUUCGUCAACUGACAGUGAAAAUCAAACUUUAAGAGAAAUGAGGCACAUAAGUGCUUUUAAAACCUCACUCCUUAUUUCUCUAUGCCUUAUUUUUUUGCACACAGGAUGUACCCAGGGAUAUGGGAAGCAGAAUACGAAGUUGUGAGGUGGUGUUGGAAACAAGGACGAGGCAACACAGGCAGCUUGUAAGAAAGCCUUUCAGCAUCUUUUGUCAAAUAUCCAACUUGUGGAAACUG